rnacentral:rRNA from 1 species
UACGUAGGGUGCGAGCGUUGUCCGGAAUUAUUGGGCGUAAAGAGCUUGUAGGCGGUUUGUCGCGUCUGCCGUGAAAAUUCGAGGCUCAACCUCGAACUUGCGGUGGGUACGGGCAGACUAGAGUGUGGUAGGGGAGACUGGAAUUCCUGGUGUAGCGGUGAAAUGCGCAGAUAUCAGGAGGAACACCGGUGGCGAAGGCGGGUCUCUGGGCCUGCACGUGACGCUCAUGCACGAAAGCGUGGGGAGCAAACAGG